UCUUGGGGAGGUCGGAGAAGCUGGGUCCUUCUGAGCCGGACAUCUUGCACUCCUUCUUCUCUGUGGCAGUCGGGGUGGACGUCUCCAUGGUGACCGGCGAUGACUGGGGGAGAGAAGACCUGGAAAAAAACAGGAAGAAAGGAUGAUGGGACUACAUCAGCACGAUAUCCAUCCUCAAGCAGGAUUUCCAGAGAAGAAAACCCCGAUCAAUAAAGGCUGGCUGGAGGGGGACGUGUGAAAAUGGCGGCAGAAUGGCGGUUGGGGAGAUGAAAGUGACAUUCCCAUCACGGGUCCUGGGCCUGAUGACCACAGGCCCCGGCCUGCUUGAAUAAUCUGAA